rnacentral:rRNA from 1 species
GACGUACUGCGCGAACGUUAUUCGGAAUCACUGGGCUUAAAGGGUGCGCAGGCGGCUUGUCGAGCCCGUGGUGAAAGGUCCCGGCCUAACCGGGGACGUGCUUCGGGGACUGACGAGCUUGGGCGAGCUAGGGGUCUGUGGAACUCCCGGUGGAGCGGUGAAAUGUGUUGAGAUCGGGAGGAACGCCGGUGGCGAAAGCGACAGACUGGGGCUUGGCCGACGCUCAGGCACGAAAGCCAGGGGAGCGAACGGG